rnacentral:misc_RNA from 1 species
UCCGGUUUGGCACCGGCAGUCUCCCUAGAGUUCCCGGCAUGACCCGCUGGCAACUAAGGACAGGGGUUGCGCUCGUUGCGCCACUUAAGGCAACACCUCACGGCACGAGCUGACGACAGCCAUGCACCACCUGUGCAGGCUCCGAAGAGCGCCCGCUUUCACGGGUUUCACCCUGCAUGUCAAGCCCAGGUAAGGUUCUUCGCGUUGCAUCGAAUUAAGCCGCAUGCUCCGCCGCUUGUGCGGGCCCCCGCCAAUUCCUUUGAGUUUCGACCUUGCGGCCGUAGUCCCCAGGCGGUUCACUUAAUGCGUUAGCUGCGGCACCGAGGGGGUCGAUACCCCCGACACCUAGUGCUCAUCGUUUACGGCGUGGACUAC